rnacentral:rRNA from 1 species
UAAGGCGUUGAAGCAGUGUACGUCAGACUUCCAAGAAAAGCUCGCAAUGUCAUAAUAAAAAAUGCCUGUACCAUAACCGACACAGGUGGGUAGGUAGAGUAUACUAAGGGGCGCGAGAUAACUCUCUCUAAGGAACUCGGCAAAAUGACUCCGUAACUUCGGGAGAAGGAGUGCCUUAUUUAUAAGGUUGCAAUAACAAGAUCCAAGCAACUGUUUAUCAAAAACACAGGUCUCCGCUAAGUCGUAAGACGAUGUAUGGGGGCUGACGCCUGCCCAGUGCCAGAAGGUUAAAGAAGUUGGUUAGUGUAUGCGAAGCUGAUGACUGAAGCCCUGGUGAACGGCGGUCGUAACAAUAACGGUCCUAAGGUAGCGAAAUUCCUUGUCGGGUAAGUUCCGACCCGCACGAAAGGCGUAAUGAUUUGGAUACUGUCUCGGAGAGAGGCUCGGUGAAAUAGACUUGUCUGUGAAGAUGCGGACUACCUGCACCAGGACAGAAAGACCCUAUGAAGCUUUACUGUAACUUGAAAUUGGAAUUGGACUUUGCUUGCGCAGUAUAGGUGGGAAGCGUUGAAGAUAUUCUUGCGGGAGUAUUGGAGCUAUCAGUGAGAUACCACUCUUGUAAUGUUAGAUUUCUAACUUUGAACCAUAAUCUGGUCAAAGAACAGUUUCAGGUGGGCAGUUUGACUGGGGCGGUCGCCUCCCAAAUGGUAACGGAGGCGUACAAAGGUUUCCUCUGAACGGAUAGAAAUCGUAUCUAGAGUGUAAAGGCAUAAGGAAGCUUGACUGUGAGACCUACAAGUCGAGCAGGGACGAAAGUCGGUCUUAGUGAUCUGACGGUACUGAGUGGAAAGGCCGUCACUCAACGGAUAAAAGUUACUCUAGGGAUAACAGGCUGAUCUCCCCCAAGAGUUCACAUCGACGGGGAGGUUUGGCACCUCGAUGUCGGCUCAUCGCAUCCUGGGGCGGUAGUACGUCCCAAGGGUUGGGCUGUUCGCCCAUGAAAGCGGUACGCGAGCUGGGUUCAGAACGUCGUGAGACAGUUCGGUCCAUAUCCGGUGUAGGCGUUAGAAUAUUGAGAGGAGCCUUCUUUAGUACGAGAGGACCGAGAAGGACACACCGCUGGUGUACCAGUUAUCGUGCCAACGGUAAACGCUGGGUAGCUAUGUGUGGAGUGGAUAACCGCUGAAAGCAUCUAAGUGGGAAGCCCACCUCAAGAUGAGUAUUCUC